AACGUAGGAGGCAAGCGUUAUCCGGAGUCACUGGGCGUAAAGGGCGAGUAGGUGGUUGCGUAAGUUGGUUAUGAAAGCUCCUGGCUAAACUGGGAGAGGUUGACCAAGACUGCGCGACUUGAGUGGAGAAGAGGUAAACGGAAUUCCGCGUGUAGUGGUGAAAUGCGUAGAGAUGCGGAAGAACACCAGUGGCGAAGGCGGCUCGCUGGCUCGAUACUGACGCUGAGGUGCGAAAGCGUGGGGAGCAAACAGG
rnacentral:rRNA from 1 species